rnacentral:lncRNA from 12 species
ACCCUGACUUAUUUCUCACAUGACAAUCCAUCUUCUCCAACAGAGCUGAUGCAGGUCCCCAUCUGUCAGAUGUGAUGUCGGAUACAGAGAAAUGUCUUUGGCCCCUACCUGAAUGGUGGGUGACAAGAGCCCUGACCUCUGUGGCAAUGGAUCUGCUGCUUGCAGCUUUGGACAGAUGGAAGAGGCUGGUUUGGUGCAGAAAUUUCCUGGGCUUUGGAAGGACUUGCAAGCUGCUUGAAUUCUGAUACAUCAUCAGAAUGAGCAGAAAAG